GACGAACGCUGGCGGCGCGCCUAACACAUGCAAGUCGAACGGAGCUGAGAGAAGCUUGCUUUUCUUAGCUUAGUGGCGAACGGGUGAGUAACGCGUGAGUAACCUGCCCUGGAGUGGGGGACAACAGUUGGAAACGACUGCUAAUACCGCAUAAGCCCACGAUCCGGCAUCGGAUUGAGGGAAAAGGAUUUAUUCGCUUCAGGAUGGACUCGCGUCCAAUUAGCUAGUUGGUGAGGUAACGGCCCACCAAGGCGACGAUUGGUAGCCGGACUGAGAGGUUGAACCGCCACAUUGGGAAUGAGACCCGGCCCAGACUCCUACGGGAGGGAGCAGUGGGGGAUAUUGCACAAUGGGGGAAACCCUGAUGCAGCGACGCCGCGUGGAGGAAGAAGGUUUUCGGAUUGUAAACUCCUGUCGUUAGGGACGAUAAUGACGGUAACUAACAAGAAAGCACCGGCUAACUACGUG
rnacentral:rRNA from 1 species